rnacentral:rRNA from 1 species
GACAGAGGGUGCAAACGUUGUUCGGAAUUACUGGGCGUAAAGCGCGUGUAGGCGGCUGGUUAGGUGUGAUGUGAAAUCUUCGGGCUCAACCCGAAAACUGCAUUGCAAACCGGCCUGGCUAGAGUGCAGGAGAGGGAAGCGGAAUUCCAGGUGUAGCGGUGAAAUGCGCAGAUAUCAGGAAGAACACCAGCGGCGAAGGCGGCGCUCUGGGCCGGUACUGACACUGAGGAGCGAAAGCGUGGGUAGCAAACAGG